UACGUAGGGGGCAAGCGUUGUCCGGAUUUAUUGGGCGUAAAGAGCGUGUAGGCGGCCUGGCAGGUCAGCUGUGAAAACUCGAGGCUCAACCUCGAGACGUCGGUUGAAACCACCUGGCUAGAGUCCGGAAGAGGAGAGUGGAAUUCCCGGUGUAGCGGUGAAAUGCGUAGAGAUCGAGAGGAACACCAGUGGCGAAGGCGAGUUCCUGGACAAGUCCUGACGCUGAGGCACGAAAGCCAGGGGAGCAAACAGG
rnacentral:rRNA from 1 species